GGGAAACGAGAGUUGGGCUUGGGACAAGAGCCAUCCCAAGCCCAACGCCAACUAGGCUCA
rfam:Pteropus alecto contig5444, whole genome shotgun sequence.